rnacentral:rRNA from 1 species
GCGGAUGAGUUGAAGAUGCUACAAUACAAUGCUCAAGCUUGUGAUAUCCUCUUCAACGGAUUGUGCCCCGAAGAAUUCAACAAAAUCAUCCGUCUUGAGAAUGCAAAGGAAAUUUGGGAUACUUUGAUUGAUAUGCACGAAGGUACCGACUCCGUCAAGGAAUCCAAGUUGGAUGUGCUUCAAAGUCAACUUGACAAGUUCAAAAUGAAGGAUGGUGAAGGUGUCGCUGAGAUGUACUCUAGGCUUGCUCUUAUCACAAAUGAGAUUGCCGGCUUAGGAAGUGAAGAGAUGACCGAAAAAUUCAUCAUCAAGAAGAUCCUAAGAGCCUUGGAUGGAAAAUACGAUACCGUAUGCACAUUGAUCCAAAUGAUGCCAAAUUACAAAGAUCUCAAGCCAACGGAAGUCAUUGGGAGAAUUGUUGCUCAUGAGAUGUCACUCAAG